rnacentral:rRNA from 1 species
GACGAACGCUGGCGGCGUGCAUAACACAUGCAAGUCGAACGGAAAGGCCCUGCUUUUGUGGGGUGCUCGAGUGGCGAACGGGUGAGUAACACGUGAGUAACCUGCCCUUGACUUUGGGAUAACUUCAGGAAACUGGGGCUAAUACCGGAUAGCAGCUCCUGCUGCAUGGUGGGGGUUGGAAAGUUUCGUCGGUUGGGGAUGGACUCGCGGCUUAUCAGCUUGUUGGUGGGGUAGUGGCUUACCAAGGCUUUGACGGGUAGCCGGCCUGAGAGGGUGACCGGCAACAUUGGGACUGAGAUAAGGCCCAGACUCCUACGGGAGGCAGCAGUGGGGAAUAUUGCACAAUGGGCGGAAGCCUGAUGCAGCAACGCCGCGUGCGGGAUGACGGCCUUCGGGUUGUAAACCGCUUUCGCCUGUGACGAAGCGUGAGUGACGGUAAUGGGUAAAGAAGCACCGGCUAACUACGUG